rnacentral:misc_RNA from 1 species
UCUUACAUUUCAAAUCCAUUGAAAAAUUCUUCAAAACCCAUUAAAUGGAACUGUAAAAAUUCAAGAAUGGAGUCAUCAAAAUCAAGUUUUGUUACCAAAGCUUCAGCACAGCCACUUACAAAUCCUGCAGAACUCAUUGAUUCUGUUGAAACUUUCAUCUUCGAUUGUGAUGGAGUUAUAUGGAAAGGAGAUAAACUGAUAGACGGAGUCCCUGAAACUUUG